rnacentral:rRNA from 1 species
UACGAAGGGGGCUAGCGUUGUUCGGAUUUACUGGGCGUAAAGCGCACGUAGGCGGAUCGUUAAGUCGGGGGUGAAAUCCUGGAGCUCAACUCCAGAACUGCCUUCGAUACUGGCGAUCUCGAGUCCGGAAGAGGUGAGUGGAACUCCUAGUGUAGAGGUGAAAUGCGCAGAUAUCAGGAGGAACACCGGUGGCGAAGGCGGUUCUCUGGGCAUGUCCUGACGCUGAGGAGCGAAAGCGUGGGGAGCAAACAGG